UGAUCAAGCUACAAAGAGCGCAUCAUGGAUGCCUUGGUGCCAAUAGGCGAUGAA
rnacentral:rRNA from 1 species